GAAUAAUCUUCUUGAAGUGAGAGUAUUUUCAUCUUUGAGCAAUAAAAUCAACAUUGAUUGUUGAUUCAACCUUUAUAAAGCAAAUUCAAUCAAGUAUGUCCUUCGAUCCUCUUGUUUAUAAUACCAAGAAUAUUUCUUCUAAGUCCUAUGACACUUCAAAGUUUGAGUCCAAAAACAACCUACUAUAUUUCAAAGAUCGCCUAUAUAUUCUAGAAGGUGACGCACGAUUAUGAGUCCUUCUACCUUAUCAUGAUUUUU
rnacentral:lncRNA from 1 species